rnacentral:lncRNA from 1 species
GCGCGCCUGGGGUCCGAGGCUAACGGGCGCGAGAUGUUCAGCAUGAACUUCAACCCCUUCCUGACGUGGGGCUGCAGCACAAACCGCAAGCGCCACGUCAACGCCCCCUCGCACGUGCGCAGGAACAUCAUGUCUUCCCCCACUCCAAGGAGCUGCGGCAGAAGUGCAACGUCCUCUCCAUGCCCAUCCGCAAGGACGACGGGGUCCAGGUGGUUCGAGGACACUGCAAAGGUCAGCAAAUUGGCAAGGUAGUCCAGGUGUACAGAAAAAUAUGUCAUCUACACGGAGCGGGUACAGCUUGAGAAGGCUAAUGGUACAACUGUCCAUGUGGGCAUUCACUUGAGCAAGGUAGUUCUCAUCAGGCUAAAACUGGACAAAGAUCGGAAAAAAAUUCUUGAACGCAAAGCCAAAUCUCGACAGGUCGGAAAAGAGAAAGGCAAAUAUAAGGAAGAACUUAUUGAGAAAAUGCAGGAGUGAAUGUAACCUGUUGUGCAAGCCCGGUUUAACUGUAGACUUUUAGCCUGGUGUGUGUUCCUUGGAAACUUAAGAUGUCUGCCAAACACUUCAUUUCCUUCCUGUUUUGUUAUUGAUAAUGUAGCUUUGUAAAUCUGCCUUUGCUGUUUUGAUUAAUUAUUUUAUAAAUAACAGUGGAAAUGUUCCUAAUUUGAAGGGGAAUUUGCAUUGUUUUAUUGAUAACAUUCAUUCUACUAUCAAUUCCUCGAUGCCAUUCUUUCCUGUGUUUAGUGUAUCAAGCAGUGGAAUAGCAGUGGUAGGCUACCUCUGUUCCUGCCUGGACCCUCAUGCUGAUGGGGUAGACAGGGUGCUGGUCCCUAACUCAAGGAUUUGUCCCGCUCAGUGGUAGUCAUGAUAUGAACUGGCACAUCUAAGACCUCACUGAGUGGCUGGUGCUGUUUUGCACAACUGUAUCUCAAGCUUGAUGGCCCUCUUCCUUUCAUGCUCCAACCAAACCAAAUGGCAUGCAGCUCCCUGAACAGGUUGCCCUUCCCAAGGUCUGACUUUGCAAAUUCAUUUCCAAAUGAAAGAAAUGUCCUUCCUUUCACCUGGAGCUAACUCAGGAAACUGAUGACAGCCUGUAGGCAAGAUUUGGCUCACAGAUUACAUUUGUCCUGCUAUUGUUUUCAUAAUUUUAAUAGGUCAAUUUCCAACAUUUAAAAGUUGAGGGAUUUAACAGAAAUCUAGAUCUUGCUUCAUUUGGUUGCAUGGGGCCCUGGUCCUACAUAGCAUCAGUUGUGUGGUGCUCAGGGGCUGGCUGCUCCCUAUUCAGUUUGCUCCACUCAUGUACCCAACUUGCCCCCUUCCCCGCCCCCCCCCCUCAGCAUCUUGAGUUUUAGACUCCAGGUCUAACUGCAAUCAACCCUAACAUAAGUUCACUCCUUAGUGAGUUUUAGAUAGAGACGACACCAGGUGGUGGUAUACAAAGGAAACCUUAUUGCAGCAAAUAAGAUUAUAGGGGUUAGCUUCCAAAUCCAUGACUCCCCAGGUAGGGGUGAAUAGGCUUCUUUUAUUUAGGAUUACGAUGAAUAUUCAGAGAAGUUUCUUCAUUGUGGGUAGAGGUGGGCACAAACAAACAUGCCUAUUGAAGCAUUGUAUGUUAUAUUAAUGAGAUUUGUUCUCCUGGGGUGGGGAUUUUAACACUAUAAUGAAGCAGAGGUAACUACUGGACAAGGGGAGGGGGUUAUGGGCCCGCUCCAAGAGCCAAUAUAAAUUGGAUUGGGUCUUGGAUUUAUCUCAGGGAAGGAAUACAGGGCCUUGCUUACUUUUGAAACAACCCCGGGGGAGGAGUUUUACCACUGAUUUGAUGGCCUAGUAAAAUCUGUUAGUUUUUGCAUUCUAACUGGGCUGCCUUUGUUCCUUAAAAUCCUUAAAAAUCCUUUUUUUUUUUUUCAAACAUCUUUAAACAUUUCAUUAACUUUGAAGAAGGAAGGAGAACAGCUACUUUAGAAACUAGAGACAUGGGAUCCCUGGGUGGCUCAGCGGUUUGGUCCCUGCCUUUGGCCCAGGGCGUGAUCCUGGAGUCCGGGGAUCGAGUCCCGUGUCGGGCUCCUGGCACGGAGCCUGCUUCUCCCUCUGCCUGUGUCUCUGCCUCUCUGUCUAUCAUGAAUAAAUAAAUAAAAUCUUAAAACAAACAAACAAACAAAAAAAACUAGAGACACUCGAGCACUGAUGUAUUCAUAGAGUUUCUAUACAGCUGAAGAAAUUUACUGUAUAUAGUACCGAAGACCCAUAUACAGAAAGAUUUAGAAAACCCAUCUCUAGAAAGCAGGUCAGAUGGACUCGAAGACCUCACCAAAGGUAGGAGGAAUCAAUGGGAAGCAAUGUAAAGCCUUCUGCUGGGGCAAAAAGGUGGGCACUAGUCCAUGGAGUCCAGACAAAGUUCUUUUUCCUCAUCUAAAUGCUUGCCUCUGGUCAGGGUUGAGAGAAAGGUCUUGAUUCACUUGAACUAGUUGUCAGUCAAGGUCCUCUUGAUUUUUGCUUUCUUGGCUUCCAGUUCAGCUACCUCUUGCGGCCGCCUUUUGCUCAUGCCUUUGCGCUCCAGCUGUUUUUCAAUCACCUUGGUAUUCUGUGCAUAUGAGUCAGCAGCUUCUCUAGCCUCAGUUUCCUCUUCUUCCUCAUCAGUGGUAGACACUAUGACGGAGCUGAACUUGCCCAUGUCUUUUCUUAAAAUCCUUAAACUAUUUCCUAAAAUCCUUAACUAUUGAGGUUUUUGUAUUUCUUUGUAAUUCUGAUACCUCUUAGGACUUCUGCAAGAAGUGUGCUAGGGCAAGAAAAGCCAGUUAGGCGUAGAUCAUGGAAAAUAGCUGGGAUGUAAAAUGACUUAUCUUUGUUUUUCUGGAGACCCCUAACUGCUUAUGUAACUUCCAGUUACCCUUCAUGAUUUAGCUCCAGAUUCACAUCCAGAAUCCUCCCUUGGGGUGCCUGGGUGGCUCAGUUGGUUAAGCAUCUGACUCGAUCUCAACCCAGGUCUCAUUGUUAAGGUUGUGAGUUCAAGCCCCAUGUUGGGUUCCACACUGGAGCCUACUUUAAAAAGGAAAAAAGUAAAAUCCUUGCUUUGAUGAUCAAUUAUUGAUUACAACUUAUAAAUGAUAAUGCAUAAAAUUAUAAAAUGCCUUUAAUGGCUCUCUAGUGACCUGUGGCCUUACACAUUGGAGUUUCUCGGUAAGUGUUGAUUGCAUCUGUUAUUUCCCAACUUGAUUGAUGAAGAAAAAUGAGCUUAGAUUAAUUGUCCAGAUCUUAGAGAACACAAGAGAUAGAGUCAGGAUUUGAACCCAGGCCUGACUGCAUCAAAGACCAUCCACAUCCCACUUUAGCCAUCCAUCUCUGGUGUUCUUUUUUUCAUUCCAUCAGUCCUGUACCAGAGUCUCACAAGAGUCUCACAAGAGACUGGACAUCUGUGUACAGGGAGAAGAACCUAAAUAUUUGCAGUAGUAGUGCCAAGUGGGAAAAGCAUUGUUGCCAUUUCUGCCAUAGGAUAGUUGUAAACCUUUAUGCAAGUUACUUACCUCUGAGCCUCCAUUCUCUCAGUAGUAAAGCACUUGGUUAGUACCUGCACUGCCUUCCUGUCUCAAUGAAAAUGGCAGGAUCAAAUAGGCUUUUUCUGAGGACUCUGUGAGUGUACAAAUGUUGAUAUUUCUAUUGUUUACUUGUAUUUCCAAUUCUUACAUGCAUUUUGCACUGAAGAAGGUAAUUUUUCACAAAGGAAAUCAAUGGGGGAUCCCUGGGUGGCGCAGCGGUUUAGCACCUGCCUUUGACCCAGGACGCGAUCCUGGAGACCAGGGAUCUAGUCCCACGUUGGGCUCCCUGCAUGGAGCCUGCUUCUCCCUCUGCCUGUGUCUCUGCCUCUCUCUCUCUC